rnacentral:rRNA from 1 species
AGAGUUUGAUCCUGGCUCAGGAUGAACGCUAGCGACAGGCUUAACACAUGCAAGUCGAGGGGCAGCAAUUUGUAGCAAUACAAAGUUGGCGACCGGCGCACGGGUGAGUAACGCGUAUGCAACCUACCCACAACAGAAGAAUAAUCCGGCGAAAGUCGGUCUAAUACUUCAUAAAACAGGGACGCCGCAUGGUGUUAUUUGUUAAAGAUUUAUCGGUUGUGGAUGGGCAUGCGUACCAUUAGGUAGUUGGUGAGGUAACGGCUCACCAAGCCUACGAUGGUUAGGGGUUCUGAGAGGAAAGUCCCCCACACUGGUACUGAGACACGGACCAGACUCCUACGGGAGGCAGCAGUGAGGAAUAUUGGUCAAUGGGCGAGAGCCUGAACCAGCCAAGUCGCGUGAAGGAUGACGGCCCUAUGGGUUGUAAACUUCUUUUGCAGGGGAAUAAAGAUAUUCACGUGUGGGUAGUUGUAUGUACCCUGCGAAUAAGCAUCGGCUAACUCCGUGCCAGCAGCCGCGGUAAUACGGAGGAUGCGAGCGUUAUCCGGAUUUAUUGGGUUUAAAGGGUGCGUAGGUGGGCUAUUAAGUCAGUGGUGAAAGUUUGUCGCUCAACGAUAAAAUUGCCGUUGAAACUGGUGGUCUUGAGUAUGGAUGAAGUAGGCGGAAUGCGUGGUGUAGCGGUGAAAUGCAUAGAGAUCACGCAGAACUCCGAUUGCGAAGGCAGCUUACUAAGGCAUAACUGACACUGAAGCACGAAAGCGUGGGUAUCAAACAGGAUUAGAUACCCUGGUAGUCCACGCAGUAAACGAUGAUAACUGGGCGUAUGCGAUAUACAGUAUGCUCCUAAGCGAAAGCGUUAAGUUAUCCACCUGGGGAGUACGCCGGCAACGGUGAAACUCAAAGGAAUUGACGGGGGCCC